rnacentral:rRNA from 1 species
UACGUAGGGUGCAAGCGUUGUCCGGAAUUAUUGGGCGUAAAGAGCUCGUAGGCGGUCUGUCGCGUCGGCUGUGAAAACUCGGGGCUCAACUCCGAGCUUGCAGUCGAUACGGGCAGGCUAGAGUUCGGCAGGGGAGACUGGAAUUCCUGGUGUAGCGGUGAAAUGCGCAGAUAUCAGGAGGAACACCAAUAGCGAAGGCAGCUCGCUGGGACGUUACUGACACUGAGGCGCGAAAGCGUGGGGAGCAAACAGG